AUUGAACGCUGGCGGCAGGCCUAACACAUGCAAGUCGAACGGUAACAGGGAUCAGCUUGCUGAUUCGCUGACGAGUGGCGGACGGGUGAGUAAUGUCUGGGAAACUGCCUGAUGGAGGGGGAUAACUACUGGAAACGGUAGCUAAUACCGCAUAACGUCGCAAGACCAUAGAGGGGGACCUUCGGGCCUCUUGCCAUCGGAUGUGCCCAGAUGGGAUUAGCCAGUAGGUGGGGUAACGGCUCACUUAGGCGACGAUCCCUAGCUGGUCUGAGAGGUUGACCAGCCACACUGGAACUGAGACACGGUCCAGAGUCCUACGGGAGGCAGCAGGGGGGAAUAUUGCACAAUGGGAGCAAGCCUGAUGCAGCCAUGCCGCGUGUAUGAAGAAGGCCUUCGGGUUGUAAAGUACUUUCAGCGGGGAGGAAGGAAGUAAAGUUCAUACCUUUGCUCAUUGACGUUACCCGCAGAAGAAGCACCGGCUAACUCCGUG
rnacentral:rRNA from 1 species